rnacentral:rRNA from 1 species
UACGGAGGGUGCAAGCGUUAAUCGGAAUUACUGGGCGUAAAGCGCACGUAGGCGGUUCGUUAAGCCAGCUGUGAAAUCCCCGGGCUCAACCUGGGAAUUGCAGUUGGAACUGGCGAGCUAGAGUAUGGUAGAGGGGUGUGGAAUUUCAGGUGUAGCGGUGAAAUGCGUAGAUAUCUGAAGGAACACCAGUGGCGAAGGCGACACCCUGGACCAAUACUGACGCUGAGGUGCGAAAGCGUGGGGAGCAAAC